GUUAUAGGAUCAAGUGACUAAGUGCAUGCGGCGGAUGCCUUGGCGAUCACAGGCGAAGAAAGACGCGGCAGCCUGCGAAAAGCUGCGGGGAGCUGGCAAACGAGCUUUGAUCCGCAGAUAUCUGAAUGGGGGAACCCACACCGCAAGGUGUAUCCGUAACUGAAUACAUAGGUUACGGAGGCGAACGAGGAGAACUGAAACAUCUAAGUAUCCUCAGGAAAAGAAAUCAACCGAGAUUCCGGCAGUAGCGGCGAGCGAACCCGGAGGAGCCCAGCUUUUGAUAGUACGAACUUUAGCCGAAAGGACCUGGAAAGGCCUGCUAUAGUGGGUGAUAGCCCCGUAGGCGAAAGAGUUGGUACGGUACUAAGGAAGCGAGAAGUAGAGCGGGACACGUGGAAUCCUGUUCGAAGACGGGGGGACCAUCCUCCAAGGCUAAAUACUCGUGAUCGACCGAUAGUGAACCAGUACCGUGAGGGAAAGGCGAAAAGAACCCCGGGAGGGGAGUGAAAUAGAACCUGAAACCGCAUGCAUACAAACAGUAGGAGCCUUUACGGAGGUGACUGCGUACCUUUUGCAUAAUGGGUCAGCGACUUACAUUCUGUGGCGAGCUUAACCGAAUAGGGGAGGCGCAGCGAAAGCGAGUUCGAAAUGAGCGUNAAGGAAGCGAGAAGUAGAGCGGGACACGUGGAAUCCUGUUCGAAGACGGGGGGACCAUCCUCCAAGGCUAAAUACUCGUGAUCGACCGAUAGUGAACCAGUACCGUGAGGGAAAGGCGAAAAGAACCCCGGGAGGGGAGUGAAAUAGAACCUGAAACCGCAUGCAUACAAACAGUAGGAGCCUUUACGGAGGUGACUGCGUACCUUUUGCAUAAUGGGUCAGCGACUUACAUUCUGUGGCGAGCUUAACCGAAUAGGGGAGGCGCAGCGAAAGCGAGUUCGAAAUGAGCGUUCAGUCGCAGGGUGUAGACCCGAAACCAGAUGAGCUAUCCAUGGCCAGGUUGAAGGUGUGGUAACACACACUGGAGGACCGAACCGACUAGUGUUGCAAAAUUAGCGGAUGAGCUGUGGAUAGGGGUGAAAGGCCAAACAAAUCUGGAGAUAGCUGGUUCNUCAGAGGUGACUGCGUACCUUUUGCAUAAUGGGUCAGCGACUUACAUUCUGUGGCGAGCUUAACCGAAUAGGGGAGGCGCAGCGAAAGCGAGUUCGAAAUGAGCGUUCAGUCGCAGGGUGUAGACCCGAAACCAGAUGAGCUAUCCAUGGCCAGGUUGAAGGUGUGGUAACACACACUGGAGGACCGAACCGACUAGUGUUGCAAAAUUAGCGGAUGAGCUGUGGAUAGGGGUGAAAGGCCAAACAAAUCUGGAGAUAGCUGGUUCUCCCCGAAAACUAUUGAGGUAGUGCCUCGUGUGUCGCUCCAGGGGGUAGAGCACUGUUUUGGCUAGGGGGACAUGGAGUCUUACCAAACCAAGGCAAACUCCGAAUACCUGGAAGCGUAAGCACGGGAGACAGAGCACCGGGUGCUAACGUCCGGACUCAAAAGGGAAACAACCCAGACCGCCGGCUAAGGUCCCAAAUAACAGCUAAGUGGAAAACGAAGUGGAAAGGCCGUGACAACCAGGAAGUUGGCUUAGAAGCAGCCAUCCUUCAAAGAAAGCGUAAUAGCUCACUGGUCGAGUCCUUCUGCGCGGAAGAUGUAACGGGGCUAAGCUGUUAACCGAAGCCGCGGAUGCGCUGGUUAUCCAGUGCGUGGUAGGGGAGCGUUCUGUAAGUCUGCGAAGGCGGUUCGAGAGGACUGCUGGAGAUAUCAGAAGUGCGAAUGCUGACAUGAGUAACGUUAAAGCAGGUGAAAAGCCUGCUCGCCGUAAGCCCAAGGAUUCCUGCUCUACGUUCAUCGGAGCAGGGUGAGUCGGCUCCUAAGGUCAGGCCGAAAGGCGUAGCCGAUGGGAAUCAGGUUAAUAUUCCUGAACCUGCGUCAGAUGCGAUGGGGGGACGGAGCAUGGAAGAUCAUCCGGGUGUUGGAAGUCCCGGUUGUUUAGCGUAGGAGGUCUGCAGGCAAAUCCGCAGACGCAUCUCCAAGGCAAAGACACGUGCCGCCACGGCGGCGAAGUGAUCGGAAGUGCUUCCAAGAAAAGCCUCUAAGCCCCAGUCUGACGCGGACCGUACCGCAAACCGACACUGGUGGGCGAGCUGAAUAUGCUCAGGCGCUUGAGAGAACUCGGGAGAAGGAACUCGGCAAAUUGACACCGUAACUUCGGAAGAAGGUGUGCCGUAGUACCGUGAGAGGAGAGACACCUUGAGCGGGAAACGGUCUCAGAGAAUAGGUGGCUGCGACUGUUUAUUAAAAACACAGCACUCUGCAAAGUCGAAAGACGACGUAUAGGGUGUGAUGCCUGCCCGGUGCUGGAAGAUUAAUUGAUGGGGUGAGAGCCCUUGAUCGAAGUCCCAGUAAACGGCGGCCGUAACUAUAACGGUCCUAAGGUAGCGAAAUUCCUUGUCGGGUAAGUUCCGACCUGCACGAAUGGCAUAACGAUGGCCACACUGUCUCCUCCCGAGACUCAGUGAAGUUGAAAUGUUUGUGAUGAUGCAAUCUACCCGCGGCUAGACGGAAAGACCCCAUGAACCUUUACUGCAGCUUUGCAUUGAACUGUGAACCGAUUUGUGUAGGAUAGGUGGGAGGCAGAGAAGAGGCCACGCCAGUGGCCUUGGAGCCGACCUUGAAAUACCACCCUGAUUUGUUUGCGGUUCUAACCACGGACAGUGAUCCUGUCUUGGGACCGUGCAUGGUAGGCAGUUUGACUGGGGCGGUCUCCUCCUAAAGGGUAACGGAGGAGUACGAAGGUACGCUAGGUACGGUCGGAAAUCGUGCUGAUAGUGCAAUGGCAAAAGCGUGCUUGACUGCGAGAGCAACAACUCGAGCAGAUGCGAAAGCAGGUCAUAGUGAUCCGGUGGCUCUGAAUGGAAGGGCCAUCGCUCAACGGAUAAAAGGUACUCUGGGGAUAACAGGCUGAUACCGCCCAAGAGUUCAUAUCGACGGCGGUGUUUGGCACCUCGAUGUCGGCUCAUCUCAUCCUGGGGCUGUAGUCGGUCCCAAGGGUAUGGCUGUUCGCCAUUUAAAGAGGUACGUGAGCUGGGUUUAAAACGUCGUGAGACAGUUUGGUCCCUAUCUGCCGUGGGCGUUGGAAGAUUGACGGGGGCUGCUCCUAGUACGAGAGGACCGGAGUGGACGCACCUCUGGUGUACCGGUUGUCACGCCAGUGGCAUUGCCGGGUAGCUAAGUGCGGAAGAGAUAACCGCUGAAAGCAUCUAAGCGGGAAACUUGCCUGAAGAUGAGUCUUCCCGGAGGUUGAACCUCCCUCAAGAGUCGUCCGAGACCAGGACGUCGAUAGGUCAGGUGUGUAAGCGCUGUAAGGCGUUAAGCUAACUGAUACUAAUUGCUCGUGAGGCUUGAUCCUAUAACC
rnacentral:rRNA from 1 species